AGCAUUUAUAAACAUAGUUUUCAGCUCAUAAUCAUGCAGUAAAUGUGGUCCUUCUUAACAAAAGCAGACAGAAUUAUCCAUUACUCUUUGGACAGCUCCAUAAAGUGACACAGUGAUAAUGGCCACUCUGGUUACAAGAACCUGCCACUGGAUCUACGCUGCAUUACUGCUGUUCACACCCUCACACAAUCUUAUCAAAAUGUGUCUUUAGAUUAUUCUCCCAUCUACAUAUCGGUCUCUGAAGUGAUCUUAUUCCAUCAUGGUUUUGGGUCAGAAUUUUCUUCUGAUAACAUUUUUCAAUGCCUUUUGUCCUCCCUUUAAAUGACACAUUGAAUGGCCUGGAAAUAUUUUGAUUGCUGAAAUUUUGAAAUGGCAGGUUGGCAUUUUACUAUGCCCAUGAGUUGGUUUUUGUAUUGGAACAGAAUGUGGUAAGGGCAUUAUGAGUACAUUUUGGAAAGGCACACUUUUAAGAGCAUGUGCAAUUAUUUAACAAAAUUUUACAGGAACGUAAAAACCUGAAAUGCAUGCAAUAACAUGUCAUAUCAAAUGCUCCAAUUUUAUUUCAGAUUAUAUUCAUUUUUCGUUAAUGUAUUCCUUUAUUGCUUGUGCUUAUUCUGUACAUAUGUUUUAUAUUUAUUAUUAUUAUCAUUUCUGUUGAUCUUAUAAUUUUAUUUUUAUAAAGCUGCUGUUGUGUAAAAUAAAUUUUUUUCUAAAAAUGUAAAUGAAAAUAGUUCACCUAAAUUAAAGUGGGAAACACUUUGAGUGCAGCCAUUUUGUAGCAGACAUGAAAGCUGAAGCAGGAAGAAUUUCACAAGUUCAACCAAUGAGUAGUAUGGAAGUGAUCAUGUUUGGUAUUAACAUAUAUUUUUCUAAGUACUUACUGAUUAUUAAAACUUUUCCAAAAGAAGACAGAGAUAUGUUUGAUAUUUACUAAUGUUGAUGAAUGUACUUAGAGGAAAGAAUAAGGCAUGUGUUCUGGGAAUUUUGUGUAAAGUGAGUGUAUGUUACUUGGGCACAGGGACAAAAACUCUCUCUAGCUAUAUGUUGUUUUUAACUCACUGACAAGAGUUACAUUUUUCAAAUGGAAGUGUUCCUACAGUAAUAGAUAUAUAAUUUUUCUUUUGACUGGUUUCAGGUAAUGAUCUACUAACAUAACCUAGAAUUAUAUGCUGAUAAUUCUUUAUUGUGCUUAUGUUACAUUAUCUUAUUUAAUAUUAAUUUUAAUUUUCUUAUGUGUUUAUUUUAUUAUUUCCUCCUACAAACAGUUUAAUUGACCCAUCCUACAUUAUUUCCUUGGAGACAUAUCAGAUGAUCAAACCAUAGGAUAGGCUGGUUGGUUUUGCAUAGCAUGGCAAAACAAUUACCCCUUAACUAAACAAAUUUGUUAGUAUGAUGAUGUCAUGUUACUUAUGCCAGUGUUUUACAAGAUGCUAGAUUUAUUGAAAAACAUAGUUUACUUAAACCAACCUUAUAGUAAUUUGUCAUCAUUGUGUGGUAACAUAUUCCUGUCCUUUGUGAUGCCAAAAUGAGUAUAGUGAAGUCUGCAAUACCAUUUGUUAUGUUAUCAGAGAAACUUCUUUAAACACUUUUAAAAGAAUAUAUUUGUUUAUAAACCAAUAUAGUAAUUCUGAAUGGUACAGUACAUAAUAAAACUGCUGUAAUGCAGGAUUUGUGUCUGAAGACUGUCAUAAAUGAGUCCCAGUCAACACAAAUUCUUUUCAAAAGCAGCAUUUUUGUGUUCAGAGCAAAGCUCUUUCUGCAGAACUUUAUUAGUCAUUUGCACACAUCUCUCUGACCCUCCGUCUUAGAUGGACUUUGGCACUAUAAGAUGCUAAUUCCCCAGUUUUAGGGAAACUAUUUCUGAACAUCAUACCAUUGGAGGCCAGUACUGACGUGUGACUCACACAAUAUUGUGUGCUGAGAAAAACACAAACACCAAUACGGGAUAAUUUUUAACGUUAUGUAUGGUGAUAAAUAACAUGAAACAUGCGACAUUGGCAAGUGUUUAAUCGUAUUUGAUAAGAUGUGGAAGUUGAAUUUGUUGGGAGAGCAGGAGAUGAGGGUGGACCAAAUUAGUAGCCACAAAACUAGGGUUUCUCUGAUAUAAAAAUAAUUGCUUGCUAUGUUGAAGGAUGUUACAGUAUGUUCACUGUGGUUGCUAAAAUGUAGCAGUGCGUCAAUUUUAUAUUUAUGUAUAUUUGAAUUUUUCUUAUGCAUGAUCACUAUUGAUCUGUUAUAAAGAAUGAACAGAGAAAACAAGUUUCAGAUUAUGACAAUAAAAAUGUACCCCAGGUUCUCAGUUGACAAUAACAGAUGAAAUGACACAGGUAAGAAUUUCCAAGUGUCAUCUAUAUUUGUAAAUACAUUUAGAGGAAUUUUAUUUUAAAGAAAAUGAAUAAUGUUUUUGGGAUUUAAUUCCCAAAGGACAAGAGGCAGGUACAUGAGUUUGUGAUUUCAGGUCUGGGUUAAGAUAUAUGCCCCUGUGGAAUUGAUGAGUGGAACUGCUGUAUUCAGGGUAGCAUCAGUAUGUAAGACAGAGGGAGCAUCAGUCUGGAGUCAUGCCUCCUACCUUUAUGUAAAGAUCAUUAACCUUCAUUGACAGUCUGUCAUUGUACAGGCAGACCAGCUGGCCUUGCACUGCAGUGGCAUACAGCCAAACCAUUAAAUCCUGUAGUUAGAAUUUAGCUGCCAGCUGAGGUUUCAAGCCAUGUAACCAUAUGAUAAAAGUUAAAGUGAAAACUACGUAGGAAGAAGACCGAAGGGUACAGGAAGGUCUUUCAUGGAUGCCACCAUCUUCUGAUCCACCUCCUGGGAACAAACUAACUUUGUGAGACUUCUUCUAACAUAUCUUAAUCGUUGCAAUGUUCUGAGGAGUCUGUAAGGCUGACAGUUGUCUUGAUUCUGCUUGUCACUAACUCUUGGUGACAUGUAUUUAUUGUCUGUGCACCUAGUGUUGCAUAAACUCUGUUUCAGCCUUUCACCACCAUUGCAGUUUGACAAUUCCAGUUGCAUUUGUAGUUUACAAGCAUUUGAAAGCAGGCAAUGACAUAUCAUACACCUGUCUAUGAGUGCUAUAAUUUCUUACACAAAAUUAAUUUCACUAUUAUUAUUGUUAUAGACCAGGCAUUCUCAGCCUCUCAAGAUGUGAAGCUACAGUCAGUCUUUAUUAUCAGCUUCUGUGCCGCUGGGUUAUACGUGAGGACAAUGUACUGAAACUUCAUGGCAAUUUAAAAAAUUCUACCAUUGAAAACAGUGUAACAUAUGACUCAGUAUUUUAUUUAACAGAGUCAGCCACUAAUGAGAUAUUUGACACAGAUUUUGCUUCAGUAAUCUUUCAGUAUCAGGUUUAUUUCUGUUGUGAUUUACAUGCCUCCCUCUAGGCGUUCAUCAGUAAGAUGUCGUCGUUCUUGGUUUGACGUUCUUCAUGUGUUCCUAAAUUAAUAAGUGUUUUCCAAUAAUAAUACAAUGUGGCACAAUAUUACAAUAAUAUAUAUGGGCUGCACCAAACCCACUGGCAGACCACAGGCUGAGAAUCCCUGCUAUAAACAUUGUUAUGGUGUCUGUUGGAUGUUUAUUAUUCACAGGUUUUACAUACAAAGCAUCCAGUUAAUGAAUGAACAGAAUUUAAAAUUUGAAAGAACAACUACCCUUUGUUGAGCAAUUAAAAACAGACAGGAUAAGUGAGGUGACAUGCCAAAAAUAAGAGGCUAUAAUACUGCUAUUUAAUAUGAAGUAUUUAUGGACUCUGAGUACUGAGCAAGGUUCUGCUAUCUAAGUAAUAGUAUUUGUGUAGGGUCUGCCCACAGCAGCCAGCAGCUCAAGAAUAACGUACACUCUUAAUCCUGUCAGGCCAGAUGUAGACCAGAAAUGGAAACCUUGACCAAUAGGAA